rnacentral:rRNA from 1 species
AUUGAACGCUGGCGGCAGGCCUAACACAUGCAAGUCGAGCGGAUGAGUGGAGCUUGCUCCAUGAUUCAGAGGCGGACGGGUGAGUAAUGCCUAGGAAUCUGCCUGGUAGUGGGGGACAACGUUUCGAAAGGAACGCUAAUACCGCAUACGUCCUACGGGAGAAAGUGGGGGAUCUUCGGACCUCACGCUAUCAGAUGAGCCUAGGUCGGAUUAGCUAGUUGGGGAGGUAAAGGCUCACCAAGGCGACGAUCCGUAACUGGUCUGAGAGGAUGAUCAGUCACCCUGGAACUGAGACACGGUCCAGACUCCUACGGGAGGCAGCAGUGGGGAAUAUUGGACAAUGGGCGAAAGCCUGAUCCAGCCAUGCCGCGUGUGUGAAGAAGGUCUUCGGAUUGUAAAGCACUUUAAGUUGGGAGGAAGGGCAGUAAGUUAAUACCUUGCUGUUUUGACGUUACCAACAGAAUAAGCACCGGCUAACUUCGUGCCAGCAGCCGCCGUAACAC